GGCUCAGGAUGAACGCUGGCGGCGUGCCUAAUACAUGCAAGUCGAGCGAGUCUGCCUUGAAGAUCGGAGUGCUUGCACUCUGUGAAACAAGAUACAGGCUAGCGGCGGACGGGUGAGUAACACGUGGGUAACCUGCCCAAGAGAUCGGGAUAACACCUGGAAACAGAUGCUAAUACCGGAUAACAACAGAUGAUGCCUAUCAACUGUUUAAAAGAUGGUUCUGCUAUCACUCUUGGAUGGACCUGCGGUGCAUUAGCUAGUUGGUAGGGUAACGGCCUACCAAGGCGAUGAUGCAUAGCCGAGUUGAGAGACUGAUCGGCCACAUUGGGACUGAGACACGGCCCAAACUCCUACGGGAGGCAGCAGUAGGGAAUCUUCCACAAUGGACGCAAGUCUGAUGGAGCAACGCCGCGUGAGUGAAGAAGGGUUUCGGCUCGUAAAGCUCUGUUGUUGGUGAAGAAGGACAGGGGUAGUAACUGACCUUUGUUUGACGGUAAUCAAUUAGAAAGUCACGGCUAACUACGUGCCAGCAGCCGCGGUAAUACGUAGGGUGCGAGCGUUGUCCGGAAUUACUGGGCGUAAAGGGCUCGUAGGUGGUUUGUCGCGUCGUCUGUGAAAUUCCGGGGCUUAACUCCGGGCGUGCAGGCGAUACGGGCAUAACUUGAGUGCUGUAGGGGAGACUGGAAUUCCUGGUGUAGCGGUGAAAUGCGCAGAUAUCAGGAGGAACACCGAUGGCGAAGGCAGGUUACUGGGCAGUUACUGACGCUGAGGAGCGAAAGCAUGGGUAGCGAACAGGAUUAGAUACCCUGGUAGUCCAUGCCGU
rnacentral:rRNA from 1 species